rnacentral:rRNA from 1 species
CACCUAGGAAACAGAUGCUAAUACCGGAUAACAACAGAUGAUGCCUAUCAACUGUUUAAAAGAUGGUUCUGCUAUCACUCUUGGAUGGACCUGUGGUGCAUUAGCUAGUUGGUAGGGUAACGGCCUACCAAGGCGAUGAUGCAUAGCCAGUUGAGAGACUGAUCGGCCACAUUGAGACUGAGACACGGCCCAAACUCCUACGGGAGGCAGCAGGG